UAUUUCUAUGGAAAUGACCCUAACUGCAACCUUGACACUAAACCUAACCCUAACUAGGCUGGAGCUGUUUUUUCGGCACACCAAUAAAUACAGUUUUUACUCGAGCUCAGCUCGAGUCAUAGUUUCGGUCGUUUUUUGUUUUUUUUUCGUGCAAAACUUAGUCUCCCACAAGGCCACUCUUAAUUCUGACCAAUUGAAACAAAUCGUGGACGCAUGUGAUUAUUUGUUAGUCUUAUUCGACUUCCUGCUCUUCAUGCUGGCGUUCAAUGGCUCAUUGGGUCGUUCCAGAAAAGAUCCAUACCCAUUUUUGCUAUCCGAAGGGGGAGGGAGAAAGGAUCCGGAGAGGAAUGUAUAUAUAAGUUUGUCCGAAGGUUUGAGACUGUGAUAAAGCUAUGUGAUCGGCGAUUAUAAUGAGCACACAAUUUUUUUCGGCUAUAGCUCUUAAAAACCGGAACAUUUAUGUAACAGCAAUAAUUAAACGUCCACAUAACUCAUAGCAAAAUAAGCGGGCCACUUUUGCAUGCAUGGCCACCAAAAACUAACUCGCUGUAACAGUGUAUCCUGCAUGUUGAGAAUGAGUAAAAAAUUGACACGCUUUAUUUAUAUAAAAGUAAAGUUUUGCAGUUUUCGUUCGU